rnacentral:rRNA from 1 species
UACGUAGGGUGCAAGCGUUGUCCGGAAUUAUUGGGCGUAAAGAGUUCGUAGGCGGUCGUUCAAGUCGCGUGUGAAAGCCCCCGGCUCAACUGGGGAGGGUCACGCGAUACUGAUCGACUCGAAGGCAGGAGAGGGUAGUGGAAUUCCCGGUGUAGUGGUGAAAUGCGUAGAUAUCUGGAGGAACACCGGUGGCGAAGGCGGCAUCCUGGACCAACACUGACGCUGAGGAGCGAAAGCGUGGGGAGCAAACAGG